rnacentral:sRNA from 2 species
GAAAAUGCUUUCUAGGGUUCCGUUGAUGAAAAUCAAGUCUGGUCCGAGAGAAGGCGGCAUAGAUGCAAGGUGCAUCAUGCUACACGGAAGGAUAAAAGCCUGGGAGAC